rnacentral:miRNA from 1 species
CCAUUUUCAGGUCCCUGUUCGGGCGCCACUUGGCGGAAACCAGCCGACCAGUCAAACCAGGUACCUGAAUGG